rnacentral:snRNA from 1 species
CCCCUUUAGAAGUGCACAUAGUGAAGUCAAUAUACAGAAGAUGAGUAUGGUCCUUGGGCAAGGAUGGCAUGCACAUUCGUCAAGUCUCUCGCAUUUUG